AUAAAAAAUUGAAAACAAAAACAAAAAUCUCGAAGGGCAGAUUCGAUAGGCCACUGAGUCUUUUUUGCUAUGUUUUUCCAUGUUUCUAUCAAAUCCUAGGCUGCCCUUUUUCCAGAACUUCGCUUUCCCCGCUUCCCGCUUCUCUCUUACGCCGCCUCUUCCCCGCAUGGACAUUUUAGGAGUGGUCUUCAUUAUAUACUUAGGGGCCGGGAAGGCGGGGGGAGCGUUGCAGCCCAAUGCCCGAAUGGGGCGGAGCAGUUCAGUUUGUCUGAACUGAGCUCUGGCGUAGAGCGACCCGAGAUGAGAAAAGCAGAGGCCCGGCCACGUCAGCACGACCACCUCAGCAACGCUGCUAGGGGAUCCGGAGGAGGAGGAGGUGGAGGUGCGGACCGCGCCGGCGGAGUGCCGACUGGAGCCAUGGAAAUCCCCUCUGGUCUGAUAUUGGAACCAUCUCUGUACACCAUUAAAGCAAUUUUCAUCUUGGACAGCUUUGGACAGCGACUUUUGGCCAAGUAUUACGACAACACAUUUUCAUCAACGAAAGAACAGAAGAGCUUUGAGAGAAAUGUCUUCAACAAAACCCAUAAGACAGAGAGUGAGAUUGCUUUCUUAGAAGGCUUAACUAUAGUCUAUAAAAGCAGCAUUGAUCUUUUCUUUUAUGUAGUGGGGAGUUCCCAUGAAAAUGAGUUAAUGCUGAUGUCAGUUCUUUCCUGUCUCUUUGAAUCCCUCAGUCAUAUGCUGCGAAAGAAUGUGGAGAAGCGAAUUCUGAUAGACAACAUGGAUGGGGUAUUCCUUUUAGUGGAUGAAAUUGUUGAUGGAGGUGUGAUCAUGGAAAGUGAUGCCCAACAAGUCAUCCAGAAGCUGAAUUUUAGAACAAAUCCGGAGCCUGCAGCUUAUGGCUUCAUUCUCUUUGAUUAUAUCACCAGUAAUUCGGAUCACAGUGAAAUUAUAUCGGAAAGAUUGUACAAAUAUUGAAACAUCUCCCAAAAUGGGAAGCAGAAGUGGAUGACAGCUCUUUAGCAGAGCACAGUGUCACUCAGGUGCUGCAAUCUGCCAAAGAACAAAUUAAGUGGUCCUUAUUAAAAUAAAAUAUUCUAAAUAUUGUCUUGGAACAUUUUCAGUUUCUUACAUUACUCUGUUUCCCCAAAGAAUGAAAACUUUGCAAUGCUGUGUGAUGGCUACUCAGAUCAGCCCAACUUGCUAUAGGCCAUCUCUUUAAGUUUUUCAAAGUUGAUUACAUCAUAUUAUUUAUCAGAAAUGUGGCCAUAGAUGGAGAUUAUACAUGAACAAGAGGAACAACAAACAAAGUGGAAAUUUGUUUAAGAAUCUGUGAGGGCAAAGGAAAAAUGUAAAAUAAAACUCUACAUUGCUGGAAGAGUAUUCCAAAAUGCA